AGGACGAACGCUGGCGGCGUGCUUAACACAUGCAAGUCGAACGGAAAGGCCCUUUCGGGGGUACUCGAGUGGCGAACGGGUGAGUAACACGUGGGUGAUCUGCCCUGCACUUUGGGAUAAGCCUGGGAAACUGGGUCUAAUACCGAAUACACCUUGCUGGCUGCAUGGCCUGGUGGGGGAAAGCUUUUGCGGUGUGGGAUGGGCCCGCGGCCUAUCAGCUUGUUGGUGGGUGAUGGCCUACCAAGGCGACGACGGGUA
rnacentral:rRNA from 1 species